rnacentral:lncRNA from 1 species
UAUCACGUGCCAUGUCUCUAAAACGUAGUUGACGUUUACCAUUUUGGGCGUGGUGUUCAAGAACCCUAGAUAUCAAAUUAUAUGAAUAGAAAGUCACCAAUGCUCCGAUCACCAAGCAUGAGAUCCCAGCCGUCCAUCCAAGGAAGGUGAAUGCAUAAGGAAGACUUAGAAGAGUUGGUGCCACUAUCGAUGUGGUCAAAUGGUAUCCACAAUGCAACCAAGAACCUGCAAAAUUACAAACAAUAAUAUAUUAAUCAAAUAAUAACCAUACAAAUUAUUUGAAAAUGAAUAUAUUAAAACAAAUUAAAUUUUAAAUUCAACUUAAUCUUACCAAAUUAUCUAAAAAUUAAGUUUUAUACUCGUCUGUCUAUAUAUUAAAUAUUGAUUUUAUAUUUGUAAUUAAGGUAUGAUUUUUAAUAUUUUUUAAAUUAAAAUCAUAUAUAAAACUAAAUACUUAUACGUAGAUUUAUAAAAAAUUAAUAAAUAAAAAAAAUUAUUAUAAUAAAUUUUAAAAGAUUUAGAUAUAACUUAAGGAUUAAAUUUUAAAUUUAAUUUAAUUCUUAAAAUUAAGAUAAAAAUUAUAUAUUAUAAAUUAUAAAUUGAUGUUAUUUUUAAUUGAAAUAUAAUUUCAAUUUUUUUUUUCACAAAAUCACUUUUAAGAUAAAAAUUUCUCCCAUUUGUAAAUUAACUUUAUUCCAUUUAGAAUUUUCAAAGCUAAUAAUAUCAUAUUUUGAAUGGUGUGAACAAUUUUUUUCCAAGUGCUUGGCACGUGCUUCCACCGUUAAAAACCAAACAGUCAACGAGUAGUGAUAAAGACAAACGAAAAACCAAACAGUCAGCCAUUUAGUUGAUCAGAGUAGGCUGGGAAAGCCAUUAACAACUAAAUGAUUUCUAUAAAAUCAUUAAUUCAUUGAAAGCUAUGAUUGUCCAGUUAAUUUAGAAUUGGACAAUUUAUAUAGUCAGAAACAUUAAAAAAAUCAGUCUAUCAUAUGUAGUGAAUGAUCACUCUUAAGUUAAGGUUUGAUGGAUAUUGGUUGUAAUUAACAUCAGUUUAACCAUAAUCAAACAAGGUGAUGAUAUUUACUACAUACUAGAUAAAGAAAUAAAAUUGAAUUUGUUGUAAUUCUAAAUUUUGAUAUUUUUGAAUUCUUAAGUUUUAAUAAUAAUAUAUAUAGUCUUUUUUUAAUAUAAUUCUUUUAAAUACUCUACAAAGUUUUAACUUUAUAUAUUUAAGUUGGAAUAUGUAUAAAAUGAUAUAACCACUUUAAAUAAUCUGAAAUGUAUUUUAACAGAGUGAAAAAAGUUUACAAUAGGAAAAUUAAAAAUACUAUGUUUAUUUAUUUUUAAAGUUUAAUAACAAAAUUAUAUCAAAAUUUAAAAAAAUUUAGUGUUACAUCAACAUUUAAGAGGUUAAGAUGUUAGAAAAUGAAUUUUAAAUUUAAUUUAAUCUUAUAAAAUCACAACAUUAUUUUGUAAGAUAAACUUUUUCACGUCAUGAAAGUAUAUAUAUCAAAUAUGCAUUAAUAGACAGUGAUCCGAAAGUGAAUAAAAUAAUAUGUUUAAUAAACAAUAAAUAUCUACAACAAAUAUUUUAAUAUGAGUGACAGAAUAGGUUGAACAAACAACAUAUGUUUUUAAGACAAAUUUUAACACAUGAUUAUAAUAUUGUUAAGAGUAAGGAUGACAACAAGUCCAAUCGAACAUGAAUAAUGUCUAUCUGCAACUCGACCUGCAAAGAAAAUCUACUCCACAAUCCGUCAGCGGAUAUUUUAAAACUCAUGUAUACCUAAAAAAAGAAGAAAUAUUUUAUACAUUUUAAAAAUAAAAUUAUAAAAAUACAUAUAAUGUAAUAUAAAUUAAACUAAAAUUUAAUUUUAAUUAAAUUUUACCUAAUAAAAUAUUAUUUUAUUUUUUAAUUAAAUUUAAUUAAAAAAUAUAUAUAAAUUAAAUUAUUAUUAUUAUUUUUUGAAGGUAAUGAAUACUGUAGAAUCAGAUAGUAUAUUAUCCGCAUCCGAUAUAUUUAGAAACGAAUAUGUUUAAAAACGAAUAUUAGAAUACCUUCUAUAUAUUAUCUGUGCAUAGUAAAUAUUUGCGAAUAAUAACUAACGGUAACAGAUUUUAUCCACGGGUACUCGAACCAGCAAUUCUUUUUCUAUCCCUAGGUAAGAGUAAGGGGUAGAGUAUAAUAUGAAAUCGUCUUUGACUAUAAAAUAUUUAACCCUAAAUUGAUUGUAUAUUAUAUUAUAGGUGCAUAAUAUUUCCAAACAAGUUUAAACUCAUUCAUUUCCGGUUUUGCUUUUGAGCAACUUACUGAGGUUUGGAAGGAUCAACCCUUUUAAAACCGUGCAGCACAAAAGGGAAAGAGAGAAGGAUAAGAAUCCUAUGGUUGAAAAAAAUAAAAGGAGAAAUUGAGAAAAAGAAGAAAGAGAUUCUGAGGUAGUAUAAGAUAAAGAGUUAUUAAUUAUUACCUUUGGAUUUGAGGACAAAAAGAGCUCCUGCAUCAACAUCAUCAUGUUGGUGGUGAAGUUGAUGAACACCGUUUGGGUUCUCAGGUUUUUCAUCAGGAAACAGAGUUCCCAUCCUGUUUCUUCUGAGUGAAGGCCUUAACAGAAGAACAGAGCAAUUCAGAGCAGAGUAUAUAACACCAUAUGCAUAUGUGUGUGUAUAUAUAAAUAUAUAGCAGAAGCUCUGAGUAUUUUUACAGAAAAAGCAGUGUGAAUUUUGAUCAGAAUAGAUGUCAGUGAUGCUACUUUUAUAGACGCCUUGUGCAGUAUGCAAUGAACUAGACUUGGAAAUAGAAGAUAUAUGACCUAAGCCUAGUUCAGAUGAAAAUGCAACAAGACAAAUGCUAAUAAGAGAAACUAUUUCGAUAACAUUUAUGGUAAGAUUUUGUUAAAAAAAAUUGUUUUGUUAAUAAGUAUUUUGUACUUUUAUAAUAUUUAAUUUUUGUUGUUGGUGGAAUAUGCAGUUGAUACUUUUACUUUUCCUUGAUAUUUUUUUUAUUUUAUUUUUCUUUGACUUCUUAGUCAUCCCUUCUGUGUCUAAGAACAAGUUAAAAUUGAUUAAACGAAUUCGAUAUUAAAAGAUAAAACUAAUAAUCAUUUUCAUGAUGACACAAUUAAAUAAUAAAGUAGUUAGAUGAAAAUAACAAGUAUUUUGAUCACCCAUUCCCAAAAAAUAAAAAAUAUUUAAAUUUAAAAUGCCUUUAAAACUUAAUUAAAUUAAAAGAUAAAUAAAUAUUUUAUUGAAUAUGUUGUUUUCCUAUCUCAUAUAUUUUUUUUGCAUUAGGUUGAAACGGAAUAUUUAUCAAAUUUAUAUUAAAAUUUGUAAAAGAAUAUUUUUUUAUAAAAAUAAUUAUUAAAAGUCGAUUGACUAUUCUUGGAAAAAGUUUAACUUUAUCGAUGAUUAAAAUUUAUAAAAAAGCAAACUGACCGGUCAAUGUUAGAAAAACUUUAUCAACUAUUUUAUAUAAAUUUAAUAUUGUAUGGCUUAAAAAGUUGACAAGUAAAACAACGCAGAACAGAAUUUCAAACUUAAAUAAAAUAUUAGAUUAAACAUUCAACUUUUAAAAUUGAAAUAAAAAUAAUUUAACUCAUCAACUUUCAACACUAAAAUGAAAAUAACAGCAAAUUUUUUUUUUCUUCAACGGUUCAAUAAUCCAUCUCUAUUAACUAAUGCCACAAUUAGAAAACUAAAACAGAAAUAAGCAAGAUAUCUUUUGAAAAGAUGAAGUUAGAUCACAAUAGUUUACUUUAAGUUCUUUUUUAUUUGAUAUUGAUAACUAUAGUUUUUAUAUAGUUUGAAUUGUGAAUAAAUGAAUUUUGAAUAUAUCAAUGGGAAAAAUUGAUUUUCUAAUUUUCAUGUGUAAUGAAAUUCAAAAAAACGAAUCAUUUAUGUAAAAGAAAACCUAUAAAAAUGUUGGACUAUGCAUUACUCAACGUUAAAAUACGUAUAUUGAUGCGGUCUAAACCAUGGCCAACAUCAACUCACUUACAGAGUGCCACUUCAAGAGAAAAUAUUCGUUGAGAGAAAUUUUGUGGCUGAGCAACCUUGACGUAUGUUCUUUAAAAAGUUGACAUCAACUACGUAUUUUCAUCCCAUAGGAGACACACCCAUUGAUCAUUGUUAAGCGCGAGUGAAUUGGGCUGAGCUCCAUAUGGCGUCGCAUGUUAUAAGGAUUCGACGUCAAGUAACAUUGGUGUUAUAGACCAACGUCAAUUUAACAUCUCCCAAUAUAACAUCGAUCUCGUAUUAGACGUUAAAGACAGAAAAACACCGACGUCAAAAUUCUCUUUUGCAUUGGUGAUUUGUUGCAAAUAUAAAUAAUAUUUUAUUACUCAAACUUAAUAUUUUACAUUUUGUAUAAAUAAAUACAAUUAAUAACUAAGUCUCUUUUCGCAUGAAGUGACUUUCCCGUUUACGAAGAAUGCGACGACAAAUUUGCGAGACCUCUGAUGUUCACUUUAAUUAGCAGAUAUAGGAAGAAGAGAGAAUGAAGAAUUGCGAGAUACAUCCCUUUUUUUCUAACCCGCGGAAGUGGUCGGAUUUGGAAGGAAUUAUUUCAAAAUGUCAUAUUUAACCCUUGUCAUUUCUGAAAUGAGCAAGCCAAAUCCAAAGUAAUACCUAUAGUCGAUUUCAAACUUUUACACCACCUACCAGUCUUACCUUUAUCUCGCACCCCACCACCGUGAAAAUUCCUCUCCACCUUUACAGCACCACGUUCCACGUCACCUUACUUCCUUUUUUCCCUCUUUCAAAAUCAUGUCGCUGUCACAACCUACUCUAAAGCAAAACACCCCAUCGUCACCAUGAGUAAUGUCUCACCAACUCUCACGUCAAAACCCACAACACCAUUGCAAGUGAAGAUGAAGAUAGCAAAGACAAGGUCCUUGAGUGACCAGCUUUAGGGGCAUCUGACUACGGGUUUCUGGCUGCAGCGUGCGACAACCACAUGGCCCAUCAUGGCCCAUGACAAAAAGACAGUGAUAGGCACGACAAAGGUGACUAGAAAGGGAAACAUGUUAAAUGAUGGUGUAUGUUUUUGAGGUUUCUAGAUCAUUGUUUGAAAGUCGUUAAAACAAAAUGAUGAAGAACACGGAUGGAGAAAAAUUGUUGUUUGCAUGACUUUGUUAUGCCAUGUACCUAGUUUUUCACUAAUAUUGAAAAAGAAAUAAAAAAAAAUAAGUUUUAUUUUAUAUUUUAAAUGCCUUCAAAUGCUAUUACUAACUAAUAUUUCAUUUAUGAAGAUUAAAUGAAUAAUUAAUUAAAAAUAUAAAAUAUAUAAUAAUUAAUUACAUGAUUUUAUUUUUACUUAAUUAAAUAUCCUACUAAUAGAAAUAAUGAAAUAUCACAUAAUUAUUUAUUUUACUUAAAUAUAAAUUUAUUUUAUUUUCAAAAUUAUUUUUUAUUUUUUUUCUCUCUUAUACAAAAAAUAUUUCAAUUUACUAAAUAGUUAAACUUAUUAAAAAAAUUAUUUCAAUUUAUUAAAUUACAAUUUUAAAAAUUUUAAAAAUUAAUUUUUAUUUUUUUCUCUUUAGAAACAUUUUUACAUUUAAAUAUAGCAUUAACAAUUAUUAUUUUAUAUUAUUUUAAUAAUUAAGGAAAUUUUGGUAAUUUUCAAUUUCUACCAAUUAAAUAAUUUUUUUAUCUGUCACAUUAAUCAAAUCCUACACUAAUCCUCAUAAAAUUUAUUUCCAAAUCACUCUCAUUUACUUCUAAAUUCACUUAAACAAACAACAAUUAAUUCACCCUUAAAUCUCCUUAAACCCAUCAACUGACUCUCUUCCAAUUCCUCUCCUAGAAGUGACACAACAUAAGUGAUGAACCAUUAAUUCAACAUUUUUUAUUAAUGACUGAAUUUCUCUUUCACAACCUUAACUUUGACCAAUAAUUUUAUCAAACACUUUAAUGAACUAGUUUUUAUAAUUAUCAACUAACAACAUUUAGUCACAGUGUAUUUUAUAGGUUUUAACUUGUUUAUUCUGUUACCAUGAAUUCCUAAAUGAGUAUUCUUUCUUCUUUGAAUAUUGAGUUGACAUAAUAAUUAGUUACUAAGUACAUUAAGCUUAUAUUUUACCGAUUCGCUUUUGGAUGGUUUAUCUGGAUUGUUACAUCAUUCUUUAAGUAAUUUCUGGGAUCGAAAAAACAUUGAUAUCUUAGGAAAUUGGUCAUUUUACCGAUACAAAAGUCCUCCAAUCUCAAAUCAAAGAAACCCAAAGACUUCUAUAAUUUAUGGAUAAAUUUUGAAGUUAUCUUCCUUUUGUUCUAAGUUGUAUACAACAAAAUGUUGCACCUGUAUAUAUAUGAAUUGAAGCAUGAGAUCAUACAUUAGCAAAUAAUCGAUAAUCUUUGGCAUCAAGAACAAUCUGUCUAACUGCUGCAAUUGCUGCUAUAGCUCCCAAAGCAGAGAAAGCGACGGCAAUAGUUAGAUUCAACCAGAAAAUAAAGGUUCUCUUAGAUGGUCUAAAUGUGAAGUUGUAGAAAAUGACUGGCAAGANGAAAUCAAGAGGGAUAAAGCCAAAAGCUCCAAUAAGAGAGUUUAUAUCCCCAAAAAAAGGAAGCAUGGCUGCUAUAAUGGUUGAAAUAGUAAUAGCCAGUGAUCGAGAAAUCACUCUCGGUAUUACAUUGCGUUUCGAGAACUCAGGGCUUUUUGGAUCUCCAAAUGCUUGCUCCAGCACUUCAUUUGUUGGUUGCAAAUAAACCUGCAUUCAAAUUCAAUGCUUUAUUUCUUGUUGAAAGUUUCGUAUCGACUAGAAAUAAGACCGAAUUAUAAGAUAUAAGUGACGUGCAAAUUUUAUUUUACAAAUUAGUAUUUGAUGGUUGAAUUAGUAUGUGACUUACCACACCAACUGCUGAUAGUUGUGUUAUAGUAAAAAUGUUGAUCAUGUAAAUGAACCAUGUGGGCACCAAAGGCUUCCCAUUGUCCACAAAAUUGCUUAAUACGAGGCCUUCAGAUUCGUUGCCAAAUGCCCAAUAACCAGAAACAGAUACACUAAAGAAAGUGACUAUGAGUACAAAAUANCAGACACAUAGUCCCUUGAACAUUUUCCCUUUCACUGGUGGUGCUAGUGUUGCCUACAGAAACAUUAAGCACAAAUUAAUAAAACAAAACAAGGUUCUUUUUAAUUACAUUGUUUCAAUUUUAAAUCCAAAAGUAACAUUAUUAGGAUCAAUCACCACACAACUGAAAUAUUAUCUAUUUUGGAGUGUGAAACUCUGUCAUUAGUAAUGUCAAAAUAGACUAUCUGGUUCAAUCCAACUCAGUCUACCACAAAUUAGACAUUAGUGAGUCAAUUUAACUCGACUUACUUAUUAGCAAGCCGACAAAUAUUGAAUCUGACCAGGUUGAUGGAUUAGACGAAUUGACUCACUGACUCACUUAAUUACAAAUUUGGUUUUUAAUUAAAAAAAAAAUUCCACUUCAAAUAUAAAUAAAUUUCAAUUCAAAAUAAUGUUAAAUUUUAAAGAUAAUUCAAAAUAUAAUUAUAUAUAAUACAAUACAAAAUCAUCUUAAAUUCCAAAUUUAAUUAAAAAACAAGUAAAAGAAAUUAAAUGGAUUGACGAGUUAACCUGAUUCAUCACGAGUUCAAUUCGAAUGAGUUAAAUUUUUAGUAAAUUGAGCUCAAAAUUAACUCAAAUCAAAAUUUUAAUUUUUUCUCAAUCUAAUCUAGUCCAAACUUAAGAUGAACUAGGUUGAUUCAUCUAUUAUAAUUCUGUCACGAUUAUAUUUUUAAAAGUGUCUACUAAUAAAAGGAAAAAAAUUGUGUAAAAUUAUUAAAUAUAAUAGAAAGAAUGAUUAAUUAUUAUGAUGAACCUGAAUUUCUGGGAUUAUUCCAUUUCCAUAGGUUGUGGCAAUGAUGGCAAUUGCAUUGAAGACUCCAAAUAAGCGAUUUUCAGUGUCACCUUUUAUAGAGUAGUCCUUUUCUGGUCCUUUGGAUGACUCUCCUGAGACAAUAUUGUAAAUUGGUAACCAAGAAGGUUCGAUUCAAUUGCUAAAACAUAAAGUGGAAAUUGCUAAAUUACGAAAAGAAGAAAAAUGGUUUGAGAAAAUACCAAUGUAAAUGGAAGCAGCCGUAGCAGCAGCACUAUAGGCCAAACAGAGAAUGAGUGACAGCAGAUUAAUGUGUCUGAGUGAAUGGAAAGAUGGGAUUUGAGCCAAAAUUAGCAUAAAGCAUCCAAAUAUGAUUACAAACUCGUAAAGCUUCAUGCUCCCCUUUGGAUUUGAUAGCAAGUAAAUUGCCUGCAUUUCAUCAAUAUGAUUUUUUCUAAGGCAUAGAAUAUCAAAUAGUAUUUGAUCUAUCUUUCCAGAGAAUUGACCAACCAGACACAAUAAUAAUGAAAGACACAAGUAUAAUAUAAAUAAGAGAUAUGUAUAAAUUUAUUCUUUAAACUUAGAAUGCAAAAUUAUAAUCAGUGGUUCCAAAUUUUGAUGUUUUUUUUAUCUUUAAAUUUUAAAAAUAAAUGAAUAUCAUUUUUUUAGUUCAAUUGUAUUAAUUCUUUUUCAUGUAUCUCACAUAUUUUAUAUUAAUAUUUAAAUUAUUUAUACUAUUCAAUACGUUUUAACUCAAAUAUCAUAUUAAUACUAAAAAAACUAUAUUAAUUUAUUUAUAAUUUUUAAAAAACAAAAUAUAUAAAAACUUGAAAAAAAAAACAAAUUUUAAUUUUACUUAUAAAUUUUGAUACUAAAAAUAUAUUUACCUUAUAAUAUCACUUUAAUAAAUAAUGUAAUCUUAUAGAUUAUCGAACAAUAAAUCCUCUAGAUUUUGAAUGAUUCUAAAAAUGAAAUUUAAAUUUAAAUUAAUUUUAUAAAACUAACUAACUAAAUAAAACUUAUAUUCAUUUAUAUAUAUAAUAAAUUCGUUUAUCUCUAGUCCCUUUUUGACAUUAAAUAUAGUUUUUUACUUGAUAGAGAUAAAUAGGUUGGAUGAAGAGUUGAUGAUAAUAACCUUCAUGCAUUGGCCUCCUAACAGAGUGCAAGCCACUACAGCACCAAAACAAACUGCGAACUGAAUUGGGCCAACAAAAUAACGACCCCAGCUUGGACCUGUCAAUGAUGGAAGGAAGAAUGAAUAAUGAUGGUUAAAAGUCAACUUUAAGUCUAACUCAAUUCUAUAAAAUUGGUUUGUAAGGUGAGGUUUAUACCUCGGUGUGAAAGGGUAUGUUGGAAGUUUUAUAUUGACUAGAAAAUAGGCUAAUUUCUAAUAUACAAAUGAAGUGCAAAUCUCAUCUUACAAACUGAUUUUAUGGGAUUGUGUUAGGUUUAAAAUCAACUUUUAACAACUAUAAAGUUAUACAAGAACUUAAAUGCAUCACUUUCUUUUUAUCUAUAGUCUUAUAGAAACAAACACACUCAUUAACAAUUUAUUUAGACGAGUAGAAAACUAUAAUAAGAGCGUUUUUUUACUUUUUUUUCCUUCAGUAAGUUUUUAACUGAAAUAUUUUAUGAAUUUUAUUUCUAUUUAAUUAUUAUUAUUUUUCAUUUAUAUCCUUACUUUAUCUAACCUUUAAUUAGUUAAUUUAUUGCAAUACAGAAAUAAAAUUGAAUAAAAUAAAACAUUAUAAAUACUGAAUUUGCUGCUUGAUUAGUUCAUCUCAUUCGUUAAUUUUUUACAUACUUGGUGUUCUCAAAUGAAUACUCAUUGAAGUUUCAUACUGGCUAAUAAAUUUCAAGUGCCAUUCUUUAGAAAAAAAAUAUUAUUUUUAAUGCCACGAUUUCAAUAAAACUAAUUUGAUAAUAGAUUUAAUGUGUGCAAUAUUAAUUUGGUUAAAAAAAAAUCCGUCAAUUACUAAAUAGUGAUAACUUUUUUAAAAUGACUAAUGUAAUAAUAAUACAGCUAACUUUAAAUAACCAAAUCAAACAAACCUAGAGUCAAAUUAAGAGUACUCAUUUCUUUAAGAUAUUAAAUCUUAAAGAAAAAAAUAAUACUAUGAUGAAAAGAAAAAAUAAUAAAAGAUAAUGUUAAAUGAAUAAUAUAAAACAUUGUGUAUAUCAAGUAUUAUUAUUUUAAGAAAAAUCGACAUGUCACACUGAAUCUUGCAUCUAGGCUUUACAAAUUAAAGUGAUAACAGACACAUAUAAAAAAUGGAAGAGGUGUAAUAGAAACAACAUAAGUAAGUUACCUAAAAUAUCACGAGCCAUGUCUCUAAAUCGUAGUUGACGGUUACCAUUUUGGGCGUGGUGUUCAAGAACCCUAGAUAUUAAAUUAUAUGAAUAGAAAGUCACCAACGCUCCGAUCACCAAGCAUGAGAUCCCAGCCGUCCAUCCAAGGAAGGUGAAUGCAUACGGAAGACUUAGAAGAGGUGGUGCCACAAUCGAUGUGCUCAAAUGGUAUCCACAAUGCAACCAAGAACCUGCCAUAUUACAAUCAAUAC